GAUGAACGCUGGCGGCGUGCCUAAUACAUGCAAGUCGAGCGAACGGACGAGAAGCUUGCUUUUCUGAUGUUAGUGGCGGACGGGUGAGUAACACGUGGAUAACCUACCUAUAAGACUGGGAUAACUUCGGGAAACCGGAGCUAAUACCGGAUAAUAUUAUGAACCGCAUGGUUCAAAAGUGAAAGACGGUCUUGCUGUCACUUAUAGAUGGAUCCGCGCUGCAUUAGCUAGUUGGUAAGGUAACGGCUUACCAAGGCAACGAUGCAUAGCCGACCUGAGAGGGUGAGCGGCCACACUGGAACUGAGACACGGUCCAGACUCCUACGGGAGGCAGCAGUAGGGAAACUUGCGCAAUGGGCGAAAGCCUGACGGAGCAACGCCGCGUGAGUGAUGAAGGUCUUCGGGUCGUAAAACUCUGUUAUUAGGGAAGAACAUAUGUGUAAGUAACUGUGCACAUCUUGACGGUACCGAAUCAGAAAGCAACGGCUAACUACGUG
rnacentral:rRNA from 1 species